rnacentral:rRNA from 1 species
GACGAACGCUGGCGGCGUGCCUAACACAUGCAAGUCGAACGGAACUUCUUCAAAAGAUUUCUUCGGAAUGAAUUUGAUUAAGUUUAGUGGCGGACGGGUGAGUAACGCGUGAGUAACCUGCCUCUAAGAGGGGAAUAACAUUCUGAAAAGAAUGCUAAUACCGCAUAAGCCCACGGCUCGGCAUCGAGCAGAGGGAAAAGGAGUGAUCCGCUUUGAGAUGGCCUCGCGUCCGAUUAGCUAGUUGGUGAGGUAACGGCCCACCAAGGCGACGAUCGGUAGCCGGACUGAGAGGUCGAACGGCCACAUUGGGACUGAGACACGGCCCAGACUCCUACGGGAGGCAGCAGUGGGGAAUAUUGCACAAUGGGGGAAACCCUGAUGCAGCGACGCCGCGUGGAGGAAGAAGGUCUUCGGAUUGUAAACUCCUGUUGUUGAGGAAGAUAAUGACGGUACUCAACAAGGAAGUGACGGCUAACUACGUG